CUGGAAUGAUGAAAGUUAGCCAAAUCAUAUUAUGAUGUGCUCCUCUAUAUCAUUUUAUCUGUGCCUUUGGCAAAGUUUUCUCUUUGCCAUGCACAGGAGAAGAUGCAGAGUUGAAGUUUGCAUUAAUGAUGAUAAAAUAGAGAUCGGUAACUUACUGACUGGA